rnacentral:rRNA from 1 species
UACGUAGGGUGCGAGCGUUAAUCGGAAUUACUGGGCGUAAAGCGUGCGCAGGCGGUUUUGUAAGCCAGAUGUGAAAUCCCCGGGCUCAACCUGGGAACGGCAUUUGGGACUACAAGGCUAGAGUGUGUCAGAGGGAGGUAGAAUUCCACGUGUAGCAGUGAAAUGCGUAGAGAUGUGGAGGAAUACCGAUGGCGAAGGCAGCCUCCUGGGAUAACACUGACGCUCAUGCACGAAAGCGUGGGGAGCAAACAGG